GAUUCCACAAAUCCAUCUGUGUACACUCCCUCGUGCCUUGUCCAUAGAAGAGGCAUAACAGUAAUAGUUAUUACAGCUAGCAUUUAUAUAGGGCUCUAAAGUUUGCAAAGUAUCUCAAUUGAUCUUCACCUCAAUCCCAGGAGAUACUAGAUACUAUUAUUGUGCCCAUUUUAUAGUUAAGGAAACUGAAGUAAGCAAAGAUUAAGUGCCUUCCUUCUUCCAGAUCUUGUAGCGACUCUCUGAGGCUGGAUUUGAACUCAGCCUUCCCGAGUCUAGCCAGAAAGCUUUCUAUCCGCUGUACUAUGUAGCUGCUUAUUAAUGCUGUAAUUCAUGAAUGCUUCUGAACUGACUGAUGAUUAAUUGAUAUGAGUUCAUAGAUCCCCACUAGGUAAUGAGGACAACCUAACCUAGUUUAUGUGCAAAGAGCCCCAGGAGUACCUGAGUGAAGAGAAGAUGAGAAUUAGGACAUUCACAAACAGAGGCAAAGCGAAGCCACCCAAGGGGACAGCCGUGGAGAAAGUGGAUCUUUCUCCAUGUCCUGGCCACGUCCAUGAAUCACUGUGGUAGGUAAGGCAGAAGGAAGACUAUAUUUGGCAUCCGAAUACAAGAGUUCAAUGACUGACUCUGACAUCUGCUCUUUGAGUGAUCACGAACAUGAAGUCACAGAGGCACAAAGGAGGAUGACAUGGCUGGGAAUGGGGAGAGAGGCAUGAUGGAGGGAUUCCCUAGACCCGGGCAGCAGAGGUGAGACCUCUCAGGAGUGGCCCAAUGGUCCUGCCCAGGCUUCAGGUUGAGCAGAUGGCAGAAGUUCUGGGAGGUCAAUGCUUGGCAUCAUUGCAGGGUACCAGAAGCAUUGGCAUCAAGAAAUAAAAAGAACAUAUUCUGCUAGUCAUCUGAAACUAAAAGGGGAAAUUGAAGAAAGAACGUGUCAUUUGUUGGAAUUUCCUCCAAUCCUGGAACAGCUCAAAUAUCAAGAAAGACCCAGAUCUCUGUCAUGGCUAAAAAGGAAGUACUUGUCCCCUGAACUACACAUCCCAAGAUGCCAAUCAGUUCUCAAAUAAAGAAAAAGCAAAACGAGUCCCUUCCCUCAAAGAUGCUACAUUCUAAUGUAGUAGACAAGAUAUGUAAAUCAGUACAUAUGAGAUAGGAAAAAUGGAAAGUAAUCUUGGAGGAGAUUAGAUUAGCAGCUCCUCAAUAGGCUCUAGCCUGCCUCUACCAGGCAUACUGUAAAUUCUAACCAAGAGGAGACAAAGCCAAGAUGAUAGCAUAUCAGGAAGAAGUACAGCGAAGCUCUCUUCUAUAUAGAUUUAUAAAAUACAUCCAACUGAGCCUUAAUGAGAAAAUCUAAGGAGCAAAAAGAGUAGUGAAUCGUUUUUCCAGGGAGACAGACAGAAAUAGGGAUGGUAUUUGUCCAGGACUGUGCUCCUUGUAGCAUUAUAACACAGGGAGAGGCUAUGCACAAGGAUAAGAAGAGUCCCAGACCCAUUACCAAGUAGCCCUACCCUUAAUUACAGCAAUUAGGAAUAGUUGCCUACUGUCAGCUCUGUCACUUACUAUCCAAUUCUAGGUCACAGAUCUAGAAUGGCCUGAGAAGGGCUCCUGGUCCUAAAAGAUGUGGUACACAGUAAAUAAGGAGCAGUCUCAAACAUUAGGCUCAGGCCUGAAGAAGGAUUAAGUUCAAAAGUCAGCAGUUCUGUGGCUCUGACACUACAAAUGAAUUUGAGUCUCAGUUUCAGCCUCCAGCUCAAUUUGAAACCUGCAUUGGAAUAACCAAAGCAGACAUCUUAGAACAAAGGUAAGACAGCACUUUUGUCAUUUUAAACCAGCAGAGCUUUCCAGUUUGUUAAUGGUGGCUGAAUCUAGCAGCAGUCUUCAGGAACUCCAACCAGGGGCAAGCCCAUAAAAGUAUUGCUCUCAAAACCAAACCCAAAUCAGGAACUCUCAGAACUCAAGUCAGGAACAAUGAUUAUAU
rnacentral:lncRNA from 1 species